GAAGGAGCUGCCAUCUACGGAACCCGAUCUCACUUCAUCUGCACCGAGCACGGUCUCAGGGAGCAUAGCGCGAUGUCUCACCAUCCGCCCAGUUUUCUGUGGGAUGUGUUAAUUUCAAGACGAAAGAUUAGAAACCUGUGGACCUGUUACUUUCAGAUACAAACAUUUUGAGCCAAGCCCUCUGGAAGAAACCCAGCUGCAUCUGGUCACCAGCGACUCGGAAGCCCAACGUGCAUGCAGCUUACAGAACAGCCACACGCGGUCCCACGUGUCAUGCUCUCCCUGGUCUUUCGGUUUUGGUGCUUUCCUUUAUUGGCUCCCUCCUGCAUGUCUUGAAGCAGCUCUGCUCUCUGGUUUCCCCAAGCAGAGCUCCCAAGAUCCUCAGACUCCUGCUGGAAAGGAGUUCCUGCCUUGGGUGUGCCUGAGUGUGCUGAGUUGAAAGGCAUUUUUUUUUUGAGGUGGGGAGCUGUGUGUGCACAACACAGCGAGGGAGUGACCCCGUCCAGGGAGCUGGCUCCCCUUAACAGAGCGUGCGGGGGAAUCAAGACCCAGGCUCUAUCAAAAUGAGGGCCGUUCGGCUCCAGAGGCCUCCCAGUGACCCCAACGUCAUUCCUCCGUGAUGGCUGAAGGCAGAAGAUAAGCUGGACUCCUGGAAGCCGACACCCCCAGGGAAAUUCCAUCACCUGCCGACACCCCCAGGGAAAUUCCAUCACCGGAGCACUGUAGAC